GUGUGUGCCGGUGUGUGCCUGUGUGUGCCUGUGUGUGUGUUUGGAGUCUGUGCCUUUGCCAGCCACAUGGUGCUUUUCACCUCCCAGAGCGAGUGUGUGUUUCCCUAGUGCGGUACAAAAGGACGUCAGAGAUUCCAGGUUGAGCUCCGUCGGGACACAGAGACCCUGAGCCGCUGGGAGGGAGGUGGUGCCGCACGGCACCAGUAACAGAACUGACUCACUGGACUCAGCUGGACUUUCAGCUGGCCUUGGUUACACUUUCAUUCUCUAAAUCGAGUUACAAAAUACAGAAGCACUGUUAUUUUUUGUUUUGUCCAUGCAGGUGGGUGUAAAGUGGGUAGGGCUUGUAGGAUGCCUGCUGUGGGAGGGGGCACCCGUGUAGUCCUCUCUUCGGUCCGAAUGUGGCAUUUGAUGUAUGAUGCUGCUUAAAGUUGACAUGUCUCCAUAUGUAUCUCUCCUUGUCAUGCACUAUUAGAUUGUCCACUCCGGCCAAGUAUUAUUCUGAGUUUCUGCUCCUCACCUGUCAGUUUUUGAGCCAGUAUUUUUCUGUUUUCUAACACAUCAGGUCUAGCUCCAGUGAGUGUGUAGUUGUGAUGUAGGGCAUUUGUUUGGCUGUUGGUGACUAUUAAGGUGAUAAAUGUUGGGAAGAUUUUCUUCUUGAUUUCUUUUUGAACAGCGCCAACUCCAUAACUGCACCUCUUCUCCCCAGCAUGUUAGUAAUUAAAGCUGUGAACUGAGAUCACUUGUAAACAUCUCGGUAAUGGGAUUAGAAAUUUGUAAUUUGUGACUUUCUAUAGACAAAGAUUGUUUGUGGUGAGCUGCAUGAUUUUAGAGCUUGCUUAAGUCCUGAGAAUGAAGUCUGUCUUCGGUCCAUUCUCUAAACUGGAUUUGCACAAAAGAGAUCUGAUCUGAUCUGAACUCCGACAUGGUGUUUCGGAGCCGCUUAGAGAAUAUCUGUCAUGUUAAUGAGGCUGCAUCUUCCCAUUUAUUCUGAGUGAACAAUGGAAAGACAUUUGUACAGAAGUUAAUGGAGAAUAAUACACUAACUCUCAAACAUUUUAAUGCCAUGAUCGGUACUGUAACAAAGCCCUCCAUUUUAUAUCAUCUUUGCUUUUAUUGGGAAGAAUUGGAAAGAAAAGGAUUGAGGUGAAUGAAAUGGUUGUGGACCUUGUCAAGAUAACUGUAUUCUGUGAUACAAAGUGUUGAGCAUUGAAAGAAGACCAUUACAAAUCCAAGAGCACUCAUUGCUCAGACGAUCAGCUGAAAUCCAGGUAGGCCAAGUGCUAAGAAGUUUAGCAUUAUUACUUUCUUGUAACAAUUUGCUCCUUGGCUGAAGCAGAGGAGUGGUGUAUCAACAGUACAAUUAUUUGUAGCCUCUCUACAAGCAUUUUAUGUCAUGCAGUCUUUGAUUGCAGUGUGCUCUAUCAGUGUUAAGGAUAUAAAGCAAGUCAAAAUGAAUGGCCCACUUUUUUUCGUCCAAUCUGUCAGGCCGUCCGAUCGUUCAGACAUCAGUAGUGGUUAUUGUAAAGGGCCAGAAGAGAAACUUACAGUAGUGACUAGGCCUGGAGGAAGAAAAUACCAGCAAUAAUAAUAACUAAUGAUUAGAAUGGUGAAGACAAUGUUCAUGAUGUUGAUGACAAUAGAAAUAUAAACCAAAUGUUGGAAAUCUGUAGCUGAAAUUACGUAGAAGUGAGGAAUUGACACCUAUUUUAAUGCAAUACAGAUUUUUUUUCUGGACGUUUUUAAUGUGAAAUGUACAAUGCACCAGUUUGUUGGUGUCCACUCUCACCACUCUGUGAAAUAGACAUCUGUCUAUGACCACUACUAAUGAUGGAAAGGUAGCGAUCAGAGUUGGAGAUCUACUUGAAAGUGUUGCUGUUCAAUAAAUUGGAGAACAGAGAGAAGUCUUCGCUUGUAAUUUGUUUGUCACCUAUAACACUUGGAA
ensembl:lncRNA